rnacentral:rRNA from 1 species
AUGCAUCGAAGGAGAGCUCGGGGUACGGCCGCCGCCGCCGCCACGCGUGGAUGGUCUUCCUGUCCGGCCAUCGGGGUAGCCCACGCGGGCGAGCUGCAGAUUUGGAUGGGCUGCCUGGCGCACGCAGCGGACGGCGGUGGUUCGAGCAACUCCUCGACGCAGGGGAAAAGAUUGGCGGCGCUGGAGUUCGCCGGAACGGGCAGGCGGCCGGUGGGUGACGCGAGGCCGCGGCGCCGGCGCGAGGAAGACGAGCGGAUCCGGCUGCUGGCGCGGCGGCUUGCUCCGGUGGCGGCGGCGUCCUGCUCAUCCGUAGAAAGAGAGACAGGGCGUGAGGGAGAGAGGAAGAAAGGAGAGGGAGAAGGGGGCGCAGGGUCAGGGAGGCGGUCGAUAGCGGUGGCGGCUCCGGCGACCGGCCGGCGGGCUUGCCAGGCAAGGCUAAGGAGUACGCCAGCCUAA